AAAACCGACUUUAACUUUGGGUAAUUUUAAAUUUGACUCUUCCUCUCCUCGCUUCGCUGGUGCAGUCUCCUCAUGUCUCUCUCCUAUUCCCAAUGUCUCAUCUUCCUAGGCUCUCGAGAAGAGGAGAAGACGCAUCCACCUUCCAACCGAACCCAAUGACCACCUCCCACCACCCAUUCUCGAACCACCUUCUAACCACCCACCCUAUGCCGAGAUGAUAUACACGGCAAUCGAGGCGCUGAAGGAGAAAGACGGUUCUAGCAAGAGGGCAAUAGCGAAGUAUAUUGAGCAAGUGUAUACGCAGCUUCCUCCGAAUCACUCAAACUUGUUGACUCAGCACUUGACUCACUUGAAGAGUAGGGGAUUACUCCAAAUGGUAAAAAAAUCUUACGCCCUUCCUAGAUCUGUGCCCGUGUCUGUUCCUGGACCUGCACCCACCGAAGGGACAUCAGUAGUGCCGGCUGCUGUUGUUGCCAUCACGACGACUCUGAGGCCCAGAGGUCGGCCUCACAAGGCCCAAAAUCCAGUUCAGAACUCGCCUCUGCCUCAGGACACUGUCAACGUGCAGGUUCAGCAGAAUGCCGAACCGGUCUGGGCUGCGCUUCGGCUUGCAGACGAGAUUGGGUUAUGUAAAUUACAAAUGUUUUUUUUUUCAAUUAUUUUUUAAAAACUUUAAUUAGAUCCCCUUUGUCUGUUGUUACAUUACUUAUUUUUUAUACCGUGGAGCAUAUGACUAAAACCAUUGUGGCUUUAUGUGUCAGUUUUUUUUUCACAUAUAAAAUGGUUUUAUUCUAUUUUUUGGGGUAUCUUUGGUUUGAGUUGAUGACGAGUGAAUAGCUGAGAGUAUUGUGCUAAAUUCUGUUGAACAUAUGUGAAUUUUAUGUUUAAACUUCCAGUUUAAUUUGUGGAGUUAUUGUGAACUGUGGAAUUUAUCAUGAGUGAAUUAUACACUUUGAAUAUAAA